rnacentral:rRNA from 1 species
CACGUAGGCGGCCAUUCAAGUCAGAGGUGAAAGCCCGGGGCUCAACCCCGGAACUGCCUUUGAAACUAGAUGGCUUGAAUCUUGGAGAGGCGAGUGGAAUUCCGAGUGUAGAGGUGAAAUUCGUAGAUAUUCGGAGGAACACCAGUGGCGAAGGCGGCUUACUGGUCCAUCACUGACGCUGAGGUGCGAAAGCGUGGGGAGCAAACA